rnacentral:pre_miRNA from 1 species
AUUUGAAUCACUGGAUAAACUUAUUAAAAUGUAGAAUCUGAGUCAAUAGGUCUGGUGUGGCUGAAGAUUCUGCAUUUCUAAUAAGCUCCUGGGUGAUGCAGAU